rnacentral:rRNA from 1 species
GAUGAACGCUGGCGGCGUGCCUAAUACAUGCAAGUCGAGCGAACAGACGAGGAGCUUGCUCCUCUGACGUUAGCGGCGGACGGGUGAGUAACACGUGGAUAACCUACCUAUAAGACUGGGAUAACUUCGGGAAACCGGAGCUAAUACCGGAUAAUAUAUUGAACCGCAUGGUUCAAUAGUGAAAGACGGUUUUGCUGUCACUUAUAGAUGGAUCCGCGCCGCAUUAGCUAGUUGGUAAGGUAACGGCUUACCAAGGCAACGAUGCGUAGCCGACCUGAGAGGGUGGACGGCCACACUGGAACUGAGACACGGCCCAGACUCCUACGGGAGGCAGCAGUAGGGAAUCUUCCGCAAUGGGCGAAAGCCUGACGGAGCAACGCCGCGUGAGUGAUGAAGGUCUUCGGAUCGUAAAACUCUGUUAUUAGGGAAGAACAAAUGUGUAAGUAACUAUGCACGUCUUGACGGUACCUGAUCAGAAAGCCACGGCUAACUACGUG